rnacentral:rRNA from 1 species
ACGCUCGACACCUACGGGGGGCAGCAGUGGGGAAUAUUGGGCAAUGGAGGAAACUCUGACCCAGCAACGCCGCGUGAAGGAAGAAGGUUUUCGGAUUGUAAACUUCUGAUCUAGGGGAAGAAGGAAGUGACGGUACCCUAGGAGAAAGCCACGGCUAACUACGUGUCAGCAGCCGCGGUAAUCUGAGCGGGCUGGCAAGGC